UGGUAAUUAGUUUAGCAAAAAACAAAUGAUUUCGACUCAUUAGACUGUAACUCAACUUACAAUUAUCAA
rnacentral:tRNA from 2 species